rnacentral:rRNA from 1 species
UGGGGAAUAUUGGACAAUGGGCGAAAGCCUGAUCCAGCCAUGCCGCGUGUGUGAAGAAGGUCUUCGGAUUGUAAAGCACUUUAAGUUGGGAGGAAGAGCAGUAAAUUAAUACUUUGCUGUUUUGACGUUACCGACAGAAUAAGCACCGGCUAACUCUGUGCCAGCAGCCGCGGUAAUACAGAGGGUGCAAGCGUUAAUCGGAAUUACUGGGCGUAAAGCGCGCGUAGGUGGUUCGUUAAGUUGGAUGUGAAAUCCCCGGGCUCAACCUGGGAACUGCAUUCAAAACUGUCGAGCUAGAGUAUGGUAGAGGGUGGUGGAAUUUCCUGUGUAGCGGUGAAAUGCGUAGAUAUAGGAAGGAACACCAGUGGCGAAGGCGACCACCUGGACUAAUACUGACACUGAGGUGCGAAAGCGUGGGGAGCAAACAGG